rnacentral:tRNA from 1 species
CGAAAUCGGUAGACGCUACGGACUUAAAAUCCAACUUUUAAAUUGUGAGGGUUCAAGUCCCUCUAUCCC